rfam:Triticum aestivum genome assembly, contig: Triticum_aestivum_CS42_TGACv1_scaffold_433881_5DL
GAUGUAUUCCAUCCGUCCGGAAAUACUUGUCCUAGAAAUGGGUAAAAAAAGAUGUAUCUAUAACUAAAAUAAGUCUAGAUACAACCAUUUUUUGGACAAGUAUUUCCGGACGGAGGGAGUAUAUU